GAUGAACGCUGGCGGCGUGCUUAACACAUGCAAGUCGAACGGGAAUUACUUUAUUGAAACUUCGGUCGAUUUAAUUUAAUUCUAGUGGCGGACGGGUGAGUAACGCGUGGGUAACCUGCCUUAUACAGGGGGAUAACAGUCAGAAAUGGCUGCUAAUACCGCAUAAGCGCACAGAGCUGCAUGGCUCAGUGUGAAAAACUCCGGUGGUAUAAGAUGGACCCGCGUUGGAUUAGCUUGUUGGUGGGGUAACGGCCCACCAAGGCGACGAUCCAUAGCCGGCCUGAGAGGGUGAACGGCCACAUUGGGACUGAGACACGGCCCAGACUCCUACGGGAGGCAGCAGUGGGGAAUAUUGCACAAUGGGGGAAACCCUGAUGCAGCGACGCCGCGUGAAGGAAGAAGUAUCUCGGUAUGUAAACUUCUAUCAGCAGGGAAGAUAG
rnacentral:rRNA from 1 species